rnacentral:tRNA from 2 species
GGAGAGUUAUCGAAGUGGUCAUAACGAGCCUGACUCGAAAUCAGGUAGCCCUCACGGGCUCGUGGGUUCGAAUCCCACACUCUCCGCCA